ACCAUUCCUGCAGUGACCCUCACGGAUCCUCGGCGAUAACCAGAGGCACCUGCGUGCCCCAAACCACCUCUGCUUCCCCUCAGCAACGUGCAGCGGCCACACCAUCCCUUCAGGGACCCUCAUGCCCCCUCAGCAACACACCUGUCUGAACCGCCGCUGCCGCGUGAGGGGAGCGGCCCCGCCCCGCCCACAUGGGGACACCACUGAGUUCCGGCCCCUGCGCCAGAGAUGAGGGGGUGCGACGCCGCCGCGGCUGGGCGGGGAAUGCGCCGCUGCACUGCGGCACGGCCAUGGAAAUGGCGUCUAACCCCCCUCCCCCGCCCAGGGACGCUCGUGUCGCCUUAACAGCACACGGGCACUCGGCCGUUCAGUUAUCUUUUAUUCCCUCAGUGACGUGUGGGGCACCUGCCACUCCCCUCAGUGACCUCUUCUCUGCUCAUGUUCCCCAAAUCACCUCAGACUUUUCCCCAACUGUCUCCCUGAGAGAGACUCUCAGAUUUUUCCGCCCAAAACAGCCGCUCCAUGUCCCUCAACCAUUACCGCAGCUUUUGUUCCCAGAGACUCAAUUUUACCCCAAAAUGUUCAUUCCUUGCCCACAGAUGACGCCUGGGUAUUCCAGCAAUCCUCCCCCAUCACAUUCUUGGUGUUCCCUCCGGCAUACCUCAUGUUUUCCCCUCAAGAACUGCGGAAUCCUCCGACGGCCGCCAUGUCUGAGCCCAGGGGCUGCCUCCCCGACCGUGUGUGGAACUCCGCGUCGCCGCUCAAGGUGGAUACCGAGAGAGUCCGAAUUCCCGGGAGUUCGUGAGGGGAGCGGGGCCGACCCGCCUACAUGGCGGACACUUCGCUACUGAGGUCUCGCCCCUUCGUCUGAGGCAAGCGGAGUGCGAAGUCACCGCGACUGGCCGCCAACUAAAAUGGCGUCUCCUUCCCCUGAAGGACACUCGUGUGGCGGGAGGCGCCGACACGUGAGGGCGGCGGCCGCCUCGCGCCUUAAAUCCCGCCCCUGCGUCAGAAGGAAAAUGGCGUCUUGUGAGGCGCUGACCCGCCGUCUGAAGACCCGCCGUCUGAAUUCCCGCCGCACACGGCGAAUGCCUCGCGGCUGAGAUCGCGCCGCACACGGGCAGCCGUCCGUUCCUUCAGUGACUUGUUACUUCCUCGGCGACACCAGGGGCACCUGCCCUCCCCGGAGUGACCCUCACACCCCCUCAGCACGACUCGGGGCACCCACCUCUCCCUCAGCGUUCGUUCUGCUCCUUACAGAUUAACAUUUCCUUUCAGGCAUUUCUGAUAACUCUGCUCUUUCAUUAAUUCCUUUUAACUGAGCUAGUAGGAAAUUGUUUAAUGAUUCUCUAAAGAUCCAAGAUGGCUAAAUAUCCUAAUAAGGCAGUUUUAUUUCACAAAUAAUAUUGCAUUCACCGAUAUAAUUGAAUUGUAGUGUUUUUUGCAAUAGGCAUGUCCCUAGCAAUGGGAUAUGCAACAGCCUAAUCCAGAGGCAGUUUUGGCAAAAUGAGUUUAUCCUUUCCCAGAGCUAAGUAUCAGUCAGUGGAAAAUCAUCAGACAGAUGGUUUACUCUGAGAUAAUAUUUAAUAACCCUAGAAAAAGAGAGAAGAGCCCUGAUCACUGACUUCCUCUGGAGUAAAAUUCCCCAUGCUCGGGGUUUUGCAAUAGUUGAUAUUCUCCUUUGAUUGUAGGUGCAGCCUCAGGAAAGGAAAUUAUUCUCUAAUUCUCCUCCCCUUUAUCUAAAGCUUCCCCUCUUCAUGACAAAAGUAUAAUAGAUGCAGACUCAGGUUUAGAAAUUGGUAUGUACCUUCCCCUCAGUGUUAGGACCCCCUAUUCAUCUGCAGAAUGAAGAGUUCUCUAAGCUUUUAAUGUAGGUCAGGCUCAGCUCUUCACGGUGUAUUCAACCAAAAUGCAGCCAUUAAGCUUCCCUUUAAAACUCUCCUUUCCCAAGCCAAGAGCCCUGGCAUAGCACUGUAAUUAUAAACUGCAAGUUCCAAAAUUAGCAGGUGGUAAAGGUGAAAGAGGAUAGAAGCACAACACACCCCUGGCUCAUCAUUUGUUGAGUGAGGUCCAGCGCAGAUGGGAAAACUAAGAAGCACUUUGUGCUUUGAGCUGACUCAACAAAACGCAGGGAAAGGGCAAUUCUCACUGCACAGCGAGCAGAGCUCCCACUCCAAAGGCAAAGAUGCUCCUCCUGCAUCAGUGUGGAACUCUCCUGGCUGCAGCUGAUGAGGGACCUCUGCAGAUCCCUGCAGGGAGAGACUGCAGCUGCAGGCAUCAGGUGUUCAGACAGCCCAAGUGUUUGGCAGAGACCUAAGCAAUGAUUUCAUAGAAACAAUAAGAAUUCUGUACCUUGGAAAUAGGGCAGAACAUAAUUUAUGUUCAGUACCUCCAACACUUGAAGUAUGAAGAAUUGGGAUUUAAUAAAACAGUAAAAUAAGCAACUUCAAAAGUGAUUAGGAUGGCAGCAGGAUUGCAGGAGAGAAGAACUCAAGGGUGGGACAGGUACAGACAGAUUUCUGGAGGUACUAAUAGGCUUUUACAGACAGAAGCACCACCUUUGUCCUUUCUUCUUUUUGAGUUUGUUGGAAGUUUGUUAAUUUAUCUUUUCACUUGAGGCCUCUCUGCCAGUAGGACAGAAACCAGAGUUUCUUGGGAAGGAGUGUCAGCAGCUGGCUCUGUUUAGUUAAUUCUUGUCCUGAGCUGCUCUGUGCUGUUGCAGUGUGCCCUGGUAAGAUGUACCAGUGUCC